UACGUAGGUGGCGAGCGUUGUCCGGAUUUACUGGGCGUAAAGGGAGCGUAGGCGGACUUUUAAGUGAGAUGUGAAAUACCCGGGCUCAACUUGGGUGCUGCAUUUCAAACUGGAAGUCUAGAGUGCAGGAGAGGAGAAUGGAAUUCCUAGUGUAGCGGUGAAAUGCGUAGAGAUUAGGAAGAACACCAGUGGCGAAGGCGAUUCUCUGGACUGUAACUGACGCUGAGGCCCGAAAGCGUGGGGAGCAAACAGGAUUAGAUACCCUGGUAGU
rnacentral:rRNA from 1 species